rnacentral:rRNA from 1 species
UACGGGGGGGGCAAGCGUUGUUCGGAAUUACUGGGCGUAAAGGGUUCGUAGGCGGCCAACUAAGUCAGACGUGAAAUCCCCAGGCUUAACCUGGGAACUGCGUCUGAUACUGGAUGGCUUGAAUUCGGGAGAGGGAUGCAGAAUUCCAGGUGUAGCGGUGAAAUGCGUAGAUAUCUGGAGGAAUACCGGUGGCGAAGGCGGCAUCCUGGACCGACAUUGACGCUGAGGAGCGAAAGCUAGGGGAGCAAACGGG